UACGGGGGGAGCAAGCGUUGUUCGGAUUUACUGGGCGUAAAGGGCGCGUAGGCGGUCAGCACAAGUCAGUUGUGAAAUCUCCGAGCUUAACUCGGAAAGGUCAACUGAUACUGUGCGACUAGAGUGCGGAAGGGGCAACUGGAAUUCUUGGUGUAGCGGUGAAAUGCGUAGAUAAUCAAGAGGAACACCUGCGGCGAAGGCGGGUUGCUGGGCCGACACUGACGCUGAGGCGCGAAAGCUAGGGGAGCGAACGGG
rnacentral:rRNA from 1 species